GAGAACCUUGAUUUCUGGCAAGUCUUGUAAAUGCGGCAAGAUGGUGUCUGCCUGAAUGGACAUUUCUACAUUAUUCUGGAAAGUAUAUUCAACACCUAGUGAGAUUUCAUCACUCUUUAUGAAAUAAGAACACAACCUAAUUUUCAAUUCCACAUUGCAUCACGAAGAAGUACUAAUUGGACAUGGAUGCACAUAUGAUGGAAAUCGCAGGGGCCAGAGACCUGGGCUGGAGCAAAUUGUGGUCUGGAUAUGAUUAACUCUAGAAAAUCUCAACUGUGGUUGCUGUCAUAAUUCCUAAUACCUGUAGUAUAAAAGAACUUUAUAAUAUCUGACUAUUUGGCAACCUCAGUGUUAAAUCUAAAGUUUGAGCAUGAGGUGGACCUAG